UACGAAGGGGGCUAGCGUUGCUCGGAAUCACUGGGCGUAAAGCGCACGUAGGCGGCUUCUUAAGUCAGGGGUGAAAUCCCGGGGCUCAACCUCAGAACUGCCCUUGAUACUGAGGAGCUUGAGUCCGGGAGAGGCGAGUGGAACUCCGAGUGUAGAGGUGAAAUUCGUAGAUAUUCGGAAGAACACCAGUGGCGAAGGCGGCUCACUGGCCCGGUACUGACGCUGAGGUGCGAAAGCGUGGGGAGCAAACAGG
rnacentral:rRNA from 1 species